GACGAACGCUGGCGGCGUGCCUAAUACAUGCAAGUAGAACGCUGAAGGGGGAGCUUGCUUCUCGGGAUGAGUUGCGAACGGGUGAGUAACGCCUAGGUGACCUGCCUGGUAGCGGGGGACAACUAUUGGAAACGAUAGCUAAUACCUCAUAAGAGCAGAUGUUGCAUGACAUUUGCUUAAAAUUUGCAAUUUCAUCACUACCAGAUGGACCUGCGUUGUAUUAGCUAGUUGGUGGAGUAACGGCUUAACAAGGCGACGAUACAUAGCCGACCUGGGAGGGGGGACGAGCCCCAUGGGAAUGGGACCACGCCCCGGCUCCCACGGGGAGCCGCCGUAGGGGAUUUUCGGCCAUGGACGGAAGUCUGACCGAGCCACGCCGCGUGGGUGGAGUAGGUUUUCGGAUCGUAAAGCUAUGUUGUACGGGAAGAAAGAGUGUGGGAGUGGAAAGUUCACAAUGUGACGGUAUCUUAACAGAAAGCGACGGCUAACUACGUG
rnacentral:rRNA from 1 species